rnacentral:rRNA from 1 species
GACGAACGCUGGCGGCGUGCCUAAUACAUGCAAGUAGAACGCACAGUUUAUACCGUAGCUUGCUACACCAUAGACUGUGAGUUGCGAACGGGUGAGUAACGCGUAGGUAACCUGCCUGGUAGCGGGGGAUAACUAUUGGAAACGAUAGCUAAUACCGCAUAAUAUUAAUUAUUGCAUGAUAAUUAAUUGAAAGGUGCAAUUGCACCACUACCAGAUGGACCUGCGUUGUAUUAGCUAGUAGGUGAGGUAACGGCUCACCUAGGCGACGAUACAUAGCCGACCUGAGAUGGUGAUCGGCCACACUGGGACUGAGACACGGCCCAGACUCCUACGGGAGGCAGCAGUAGGGAAUCUUCGGCAAUAGACGAAAGUCUGACCGAGCAACGCCGCGGGAGUGAAGAAGGUUUUCGGAUCGUAAAGCUCUGUUGUAAGAGAAGAACGGGUGUGAGAGUGGAAAGUUCACACUGUGACGGUAUCUUACCAGAAAGGGACGGCUAACUACGUG